rnacentral:rRNA from 1 species
CACGUAGGCGGUUUGUCGCGUCUGCUGUGAAAUCCGGAGGCUCAACUCCAGAACUGCCUUUGAUACUGGGUAUCUUGAGUAUGGAAGAGGUAAGUGGAAUUCCGAGUGUAGAGGUGAAAUUCGUAGAUAUUCGGAGGAACACCAGUGGCGAAGGCGGCUUACUGGUCCAUUACUGACGCUGAGGUGCGAAAGCGUGGGGAGCAAACA